UUUGUUUGCUUAUUGGUGGGUUAUGAAUUGGUAUAAUCAGAAUAGCUAUUUUGAAGGUUGCUAAAACAACUCUAAGUUAGCAGAUGCAAAUAGUUAUUGACCAUAAAUUUGGUUUUAGAGAAUUGGUUUAUUGUGUUGUGUCACCUGGUCGGAUUUUCUUGUAUCAUGUUGUAAUAGGGUCAACAUUGUUAUCGUGCACAAAGCUGUGCAUUCAAGGAAAUACAUAUGGAUAGCAUUUAGAAAUUGGCCAUCUAGGUGUGCUAUACUGCG
rnacentral:misc_RNA from 1 species